UACGUAGGGGGCAAGCGUUGUCCGGAAUUAUUGGGCGUAAAGGGCUCGUAGGCGGUUUGUCGCGUCGGGAGUGAAAUCCACUGGCUUAACUGGUGGCUUGCUUUCGAUACGGGCAGACUGGAGGUAUGCAGGGGGAGAACGGAAUUCCUGGUGUAGCGGUGAAAUGCGCAGAUAUCAGGAGGAACACCGGUGGCGAAGGCGGUUCUCUGGGCAUGUCCUGACGCUGAGGAGCGAAAAGUGUGGGGGAGCGAACAGGG
rnacentral:rRNA from 1 species